CCCACCACUGCACCUGACCUGUUCUCCACUGGCUGGUGCAAUCCAGUGGUGAGCUGAUAGUAACCCCAGUUUAGGAAACAGUGUUGUUCUUCAUGUAGGCGAAUCUGUGCUGAUAGCAUGGGAACAGCC
ensembl:snoRNA